UACAGAGGGUGCGAGCGUUGUUCGGAAUUAUUGGGCGUAAAGGGCGCGUAGGCGGUGCGGUAAGUCACCUGUGAAAUCUCCUGGCUCAACUGGGAGCUUGCAGGCGAAACUGCCGUGCUGGAGUGUGGGAGAGGUGCGUGGAAUUCCUGGUGUAGCGGUGAAAUGCGUAGAUAUCAGGAGGAACACCUGUGGCGAAAGCGGCGCACUGGACCGGAACUGACGCUGAGGCGCGAAAGCGUGGGGAGCAAACGGG
rnacentral:rRNA from 1 species